GGAUAUAGCUUAGUGGUCAGAGUGUUGGACUCGUAAUUUGAGGGCCUGGGUUCGAAUCCUCUACUUUUAACU